rnacentral:rRNA from 1 species
CUCUCAGGCCGUAUCAGCCUGAAGGCGCCCGAUCUCUUCUGAUCUCGGAAGCUAAGCAGGGUCGGGCCUGGUUAGGAUCUUGGAUGGGGAGACCACCUGGGAAUCCCGGGUGCUCGAGGCU